GUAGGUGGCAAGCGUUGUCCGGAAUUAUUGGGCGUAAAGCGCGCGCAGGCGGUUCUUUAAGUCUGAUGUGAAAGCCCACGGCUCAACCGUGGAGGGUCAUUGGAAACUGGAGAACUUGAGUACAGAAGAGGAAAACGGAAUUCCACGUGUAGCGGUGAAAUGCGUAGAGAUGUGGAGGAACACCAGUGGCGAAGGCGGCUUUCUGGUCUGUAACUGACGCUGAGGCGCGAAAGCGUGGGGAGCAAACAGGAUUAGAUACCCUGGUAGUCCACGCCGUAAACGAUGAGUGCUAAGUGUUAGGGGGUUUCCCGCCCCCUUAGUGCUGCAGCUAACGCAUUAAGCACUCCGCCUGGGGAGUACGGCCGCAAGGCUG
rnacentral:rRNA from 1 species